GAACGGUAACAGGAAGCAGCUUGCUGCUUCGCUGACGAGUGGCGGACGGGUGAGUAAUGUCUGGGAAACUGCCUGAUGGAGGGGGAUAACUACUGGAAACGGUAGCUAAUACCGCAUAACGUCGCAAGACCAAAGAGGGGGACCUUCGGGCCUCUUGCCAUCGGAUGUGCCCAGAUGGGAUUAGCUAGUAGGUGGGGUAACGGCUCACCUAGGCGACGAUCCCUAGCUGGUCUGAGAGGAUGACCAGCCACACUGGAACUGAGACACGGUCCAGACUCCUACGGGAGGCAGCAGUGGGGAAUAUUGCACAAUGGGCGCAAGCCUGAUGCAGCCAUGCCGCGUGUAUGAAGAAGGCCUUCGGGUUGUAAAGUACUUUCAGCGGGGAGGAAGGCGACAGGGUUAAUAACCCUGUCGAUUGACGUUACCCGCAGAAGAAGCACCGGCUAACUCCGUGCCAGCAGCCGCGGUAAUACGGAGGGUGCAAGCGUUAAUCGGAAUUACUGGGCGUAAAGCGCACGCAGGCGGUCUGUCAAGUCGGAUGUGAAAUCCCCGGGCUCAACCUGGGAACU
rnacentral:rRNA from 4 species